UCUACGGGCGGCAGCAGUGGGGAAUAUUGGACAAUGGGCGAAAGCCUGAUCCAGCCAUGCCGCGUGUGUGAAGAAGGCCUUCGGGUUGUAAAGUACUUUCAGUGGGGAAGAAAGCCUUGGGGCUAAUACCCUCGAGGAAGGACAUCACCCACAGAAGAAGCACCGGCUAACUCCGUGCCAGCAGCCGCGGUAAUACGGAGGGUGCGAGUGUUAAUCGGAAUUACUGGGCGUAAAGCGCGCGUAGGCGGUCUGAUAAGCCGGUUGUGAAAGCCCCGGGCUCAACCUGGGAACGGCAUCCGGAACUGUCAGGCUAGAGUGCAGGAGAGGAAGGUAGAAUUCCCGGUGUAGCGGUGAAAUGCGUAGAGAUCGGGAGGAAUACCAGUGGCGAAGGCGGCCUUCUGGACUGACACUGACGCUGAGGUGCGAAAGCGUGGGUAGCAAACAGGAUUAGAUACCCCAGUAGUC
rnacentral:rRNA from 1 species